rnacentral:rRNA from 1 species
GACGAACGCUGGCGGCGUGCUUAACACAUGCAAGUCGAACGGAAAGGCCCUGCUUGCAGGGUACUCGAGUGGCGAACGGGUGAGUAACACGUGGGUGAUCUGCCCUGCACUUCGGGAUAAGCUUGGGAAACUGGGUCUAAUACCGGAUAGGAACCAUCUUUAGUGUGGUGGUUGGAAGGUUUUUUCGGUGUAGGAUGAGCUCGCGGCCUAUCAGCUUGUUGGUGGGGUAAUGGCCUACCAAGGCGGCGACGGGUAGCCGGCCUGAGAGGGUGUACGGCCACAUUGGGACUGAGAUACGGCCCAGACUCCUACGGGAGGCAGCAGUGGGGAAUAUUGCACAAUGGGCGCAAGCCUGAUGCAGCGACGCCGCGUGGGGGAUGAAGGCCUUCGGGUUGUAAACUCCUUUCGCUAGGGACGAAGCUUUUUGUGACGGUACCUAGAUAAGAAGCACCGGCUAACUACGUG